rnacentral:lncRNA from 1 species
CUCCACCCUAGGUCAAUUAACACUCUCGUGUUUAAUAUUUGAUUGUGCAAACCAAGACACCCUUAGCUUAUAAGUAUUUCUCGUAUAGGACCGAUGUCGUGACAUCGGAGGCAAUAUUGUCAUACUCAAGGUAGCUUCAAGGGUGUGUCGUGACAUUAGAGGCAAUAUGCUCGUACUCAAUGUAGCUUUAGGGGUGUGUCGCAACAUCUCUUAAUUGUGUCGCGAUACUGAAGGCUGUCUUGGGAUUGUUGCUCUCUACUUCCUGUGUUGCGACAUCAAAC